rnacentral:rRNA from 1 species
GACGAACGCUGGCGGCGUGCUUAACACAUGCAAGUCGAACGGAAAGGCCCCUUUGGGGGUACUCGAGCGGCGAACGGGUGAGUAACAAGUGAGUAACCUGCCCUUGCCUUAGGGAUAACUACAGGAAAGUGGGGCUAAUACCGGAUAGGAAUCAUUGCUGCAUGGUGGGGGUUGGAAAGCGUUGGCGGGUUUGGGUGGGAUCGCGGCGUAUAUGCGUGUUGGUGGGGUGAUGGCUUACCAAGGCGUUGGCGGGUAGCCGGCCUGAGAGGGCGAGCGGCCCCCUUGGGACUUAGGUUCGGCCCAGGCUCCUACCGGAGGCCGCAGUGGGGAAUAUUGCACAAUGGGCGGCAGCCCGAUGCAGCAACGCCGCGGGCGGGAUGACGGCCUUCGGGUUGUAAACCGCUUUCAGCAGGGGCGAAGCUUGUGGUGACGGUACCUGCAGAAGAAGCACCGGCUAACUACGUG